rnacentral:rRNA from 1 species
UACGUAGGGUGCAAGCGUUGUCCGGAAUUAUUGGGCGUAAAGAGCUCGUAGGCGGUCAGUCGCGUCUGCUGUGAAAACUCGGGGCUUAACUCCGGGCCUGCAGUGGGUACGGGCUGACUAGAGUGCGGUAGGGGAGACUGGAAUUCCUGGUGUAGCGGUGAAAUGCGCAGAUAUCAGGAGGAACACCGGUGGCGAAGGCGGGUCUCUGGGCCGUAACUGACGCUGAUGCACGAAGGCUAGGGGAGCAAACAGG